rnacentral:rRNA from 1 species
CGAUGGGCCGACGUCGCAUGCUCCGGCCGCCAUGGCGGCCGCGGGAAUCGAUUAGAGUUUGAUCAUGGCUCAGAACGAACGCUGGCGGCGUGCCUAACACAUGCAAGUCGAACGCGAAAGUCCUUCGGGAUGAGUAAAGUGGCGCACGGGUGAGUAACACGUAGGUGACCUGCCUUUUAGAGGGGAAUAACCAGAUGAAAUUUGGCUAAUGCCGCAUACGAAGUACAAAUCUAAAAGUAGUACUUGAAAGGAUGCCUCUGUAUAUGCAUCCACUAAAAGAUGGGCCUGCGGAACAUUAGCUAGUUGGUGGGGUAAAGGCCUACCAAGGCAACGAUGUUUAUCCGGUCUGAGAGGAUGAUCGGACACACUGGAACUGAGACACGGUCCAGACUCCUACGGGAGGCAGCAGUGGGGAAUAUUGCGCAAUGGGGGAAACCCUGACGCAGCAACGCCGCGUGAGUGAAGAAGGCCUUCGGGUUGUAAAGCUCUUUCGGCCGGGAAGAAAACGUAUGGGUUAAUACCCUGUGCGGAUGACGGUACCGGCAUAAGAAGCACCGGCUAACUACGUGCCAGCAGCCGCGGUAAUACGUAGGGUGCGAGCGUUAAUCGGAAUUACUGGGCGUAAAGCGUGCGCAGGCGGUUUUUUAAGACAGGCGUGAAAUCCCCGGGCUCAACCUGGGAACUGCAUUUGAGACUGCAAGGCUAGAGUGUGGCAGAGGGGGGUAGAAUUCCACGUGUAGCAUUGAAAUGCGUAGAGAUGUGGAGGAAUACCGAUGGCGGAAG